UGUGUAGGCGGUUCCUUAAGUUUGCUGUGAAAUCUCCCGGCUUAACCGGGAGGGUGCGGUGAAUACUGAGGGACUAGAGUACGGGAGAGGAAAGUGGAAUUCCUGGUGUAGCGGUGAAAUGCGUAGAUAUCAGGAGGAACACCGGUGGUGUAGACGGCUUUCUGGACCGACACUGACGCUGAGACACGAAAGCGUGGGUAGCAAACA
rnacentral:rRNA from 1 species